rnacentral:lncRNA from 1 species
CCUUUUGUAGGUGGUUCGUAGCUGCUCUCAUGGCUAAUUCUCAGUUGAAGUUCGAUAGAGGAAAAGCUACUAGUUUCAAGGAGAUUUCAUGGCUGAGUUUCGCUAGAUUCUAGUUGGAAAAUAGAGUUCAUUUUAAAUGCUUUUUUAGGCUAGUUCAAGGACUGUUUGAAGCUAUUUUGUAGCUUUAUUUUGCUGGUAUUUAAGAAAUAUUUCAGGACCAUUUACAGUUGAUUUUGCUGCUGGUUCGACAGCUGCUUCUAUCUCAUUUUUGACGAGUUCGCCGGGUAUAGAGAUGAGGUAGAACACGAGAGAGAAGGCUUGUUUAAGUCGCCGAAGGUGAGGGCUCUUGGGAUUUGUCAUUUCAGAAAAUGAUCUCUUGAAGAAGAGGAUCAGUAACUCUCUUUUUUGUGUUUUUAUCAACACUGGCUGGAGAGGAAUUCUUCUCUCGUGAAGGAGAACG